UUAUACCUAUGAUGAGCUGCAAAACUGUAUUGCCUACAUUGUUUGACCUAGCUUAUGAGAAACCUGCAACUUCUGAGGAUUAA
rfam:Brachypodium distachyon strain Bd21 chromosome 1, whole genome shotgun sequence.